UUAUGGUGUCAUGUUUAUUGCUAACUGUUCAUAAAAUCCCGACAAUUACUUUGUAGCUUAUGCGGGGAUUUUACGACAGUCAACAAAGACCUUUGACAUUAAAUA
rnacentral:pre_miRNA from 2 species